rnacentral:misc_RNA from 1 species
UCCAGGUUAUCCCUGGCGGUCUCCUGCGAGUUCCCAACUGAAUGAUGGCAAAACAGGGCAAGGGUUGCGCUCGUUGCGGGACUUAACCCAACAUCUCACGACACGAGCUGACGACAGCCAUGCAGCACCUCGACUCUACUCCCUUGCGGGAUAUCCGUGUUUCCACGAACGUUGAAAAGCCGUUCGAGCCCAGGUAAGGUUCUUCGCGUUGCGUCGAAUUGAACCACAUGCUCCACCGCUUGUGCGGGCCCCCGUCAAUUCCUUUGAGUUUCACCGUUGCCGGCGUACUCCCCAGGUGGAUUACUUAUCGCUUGCGCUAAGCCGCUGACUGUGUAUCGCCAACAGCGAGUAAUCAACGUUUACAGUGUGGACUAC